GGGACACUUUUUAAAAAUAUAUAUAAUUUACAUUUUUAUUCUUAUGGUCUUUAAUAUUUUUAUUAAUUAGUUUACAUGUAUGUGUCUAUCUUCUCCCUAUUUCAGAAUAACAUGUUCCCAACCCCAUAUUGCACAGUCCAUUUCUUCACUAAAAGUGGGUGCUUAGUGGGUGCACUAAGUUGGUUUACAUGAAGGGAUUAUUACAUUGGGACACAAUACACACUAUAAAUAAAGAUUCACUUCUUGAGAAAUACAAAUGGCUUGUUGCAGGUGAAUAAAAAUAAGUAUGUAAUAAUUUAUAGCGUUCUUUUUAAUUAUCUUAAACAUUGUGCUUCAUAUUUAAAUUAAAAUAAAAACUGUCAGCUGAGCACAGUCCUGUAUUGCACCUGCUCUGGUCAAUGAAGACAUCCAGCUUCUCCUGUGUAGGACCUGCUCUACUCUACACAGUGAAGACAUUAACCUUCUCCUGUAUUUGACCUGCUCUGCUCAGUGAAGACAUCAACCUUCUCCAGAAUCGGACCUGCUCUGCUCAGUGAAGACAUCAAACUUCCCUGUAUCAGACCUGCUCUGCCCUGUGAAGACCUCCAGCUUCUUCUGUAUCAGACCUGCUCCGCUCAGCGAAGAUAUCCAGCUUCUCCUGUACCGGACCUGCUAAGCUCAGUGUAGACAUCCAGCCUCUCCUGUACCGGACCUGCUCUGCUCAAUGAAGAUCUCCAGCUUCUCCUGUACCGGACCUGCUCUCUGCUCAUUGAAGACAUCAACCUUCUCCUGAAUCGGACCUGCUCAGUGAAGACAUCAAACAUCCCUGUACCGGGCCUGCUCUGCUCAGCGAAGACAUCCAGCUUCUCCUGUAUCAGACCUGCUCUGCUCAGUGAAGACAUCCAGCUUCUCCUCUACCGGACCUUCUUUGCUCAAUGAAGACCUCCAGCUUCUCCUGUAUCAGACCUGCUCUGCUCAGUGAAGACAUCCAGCUUCUCCUGUACCGGAACUGCUCUGCUCAGUGAAGACAUCCAGCUUCUCCUGUAUCAGACCUGCUCUGCUCAGUGAAGACAUCCAGCUUCUCCUCUACCGGACCUUCUCUGCUCAGUGAAGACCUCCAGCUUCUCCUGUAUCUGACCU